rnacentral:rRNA from 1 species
UACGUAGGGCGCAAGCGUUGUCCGGAAUUAUUGGGCGUAAAGAGCUCGUAGGCGGUCUGUCGCGUCGGCUGUGAAAACCCGGAGCUCAACUCCGGGCCUGCAGUCGAUACGGGCAAACUGGAGUGUUGCAGGGGAGACUGGAAUUCCUGGUGUAGCGGUGAAAUGCGCAGAUAUCAGGAGGAACACCGGUGGCGAAGGCGGGUCUCUGGGCAACAACUGACGCUGAGGAGCGAAAGCGUGGGGAGCGAACAGG